UACGUAGGGUCCGAGCGUUGUCUGGAAUUAUUGGGCGUAAAGGGCUCGUAGGCGGUUCGUCACGUCGGGAGUGAAAACUCGGGGCUUAACCCCGAGCCUGCUUCCGAUACGGGCAGACUAGAGGUAGGCAGGGGAGAGCGGAACUCCUGGUGUAGCGGUGGAAUGCGCAGAUAUCAGGAAGAACACCGGUGGCGAAGGCGGCUCUCUGGGCCUUACCUGACGCUGAGGAGCGAAAGCGUGGGUAGCGAACAGG
rnacentral:rRNA from 1 species